GCUGGGCUUAAUUGUGCAUGUCUGUAAUCUCUGCUACUGAGGAGGCUGAGGCUGGUGGAUCACAAGCUCUGGAGUUCUGAGCUGCAGUAGGUUAAGCCAUUCGAGUGUCUGCAAUAAGUUUGGUACUAGUAUGGUGAGCCCCAGGACUGAGGAACCACCAGGUUGGCUAAGGAGGUGUGAAAUGGCCCAGGUUGGAAAUGGAGCAGGUCAAAGUUCCCAUACAGAUCAAGGUGCAUGAAUGGCUGUUACACUUCCAGCUUGGGUGAGAUAGGGAGACCUAAU
rnacentral:SRP_RNA from 1 species